rnacentral:rRNA from 1 species
CCUACGGGAGGCAGCAGUGGGGGAUAUUGCACAAUGGGGGGAACCCUGAUGCAGCGACGCCGCGUGGGUGAAGGAGUGCUUCGGCAUGUAAAGCCCUAUCGGCAGGGAAGAAGCAAGACGGUACCUGACUAAGAAGCCCCGGCUAACUACGUGCCAGCAGCCGCGGUAAUACGUAGGGGGCGAGCGUUAUCCGGAUUCACUGGGUGGAAAGGGAGCGUAGACGGCCAUGCAAGCCAGGGGUGAAAGCCCGGGGACCAACCCCGGGACUGCCCUUGGAAAUGCAUGGCUGGAGUGCGGGAGGGGCAGGCGGAAUUCCUGGUGUAGCGGUGGAAUGCGUAGAUAUCAGGAGGAACACCGGCGGCGAAGGCGGCCUGCUGGACUGCGACUGACGUUGAGGCUCGAAAGCGUGGGGAGCGAACAGGAUUAGAUACCCCAGUAGUC